CCCCGACAAGAGCCACGAAGCAGAAUAGAAGAAAAGCCAUCGUGCCCUUCUGAAUACCCCGUGUUCGUAGCGCGAUUAUAUCGCAUUUUCUGGUCAGCUGGGAUAACAGGAAAACCAAAAAGGUUCUUCUGAUGUCCGGACAAGGCAGCGUUCAAGGACGAGGAUCGAACUAGGACAGCAUGUAACCAAAA